GUUCCUUUGUGGACAUCCAAUAUAAUUGGAAUGAUACAAAGAAUAUACGCAUGAUGCCUCAUGCGCAAAAAUGACAUCCUUGAAUCGAGAAAUGAGUUAUUUUUUU